GACGAGGAAGCUCAGUGGUGGAGCUCCCGGCUCUUUAACCGGGUGGACGCAGGUUCGAGCCCUGCCCUCGUCG
rnacentral:tRNA from 2 species